rnacentral:rRNA from 1 species
UAAGGAAUAUUGGUCAAUGGACGAAAGUCUGAACCAGCCAUGCCGCGUGGAGGAUGAAGGUCCUCUGGAUUGUAAACUUCUUUUAUCUGGGACGAAAAAAGGUCUUUCUAGAUCGUCUGACGGUACCAGAUGAAUAAGCACCGGCUAACUCCGUGCCAGCAGCCGCGGUAAUACGGAGGGUGCAAGCGUUAUCCGGAUUCACUGGGUUUAAAGGGUGCGUAGGUGGGUUGGUAAGUCAGUGGUGAAAUCUUCGAGCUUAACUCGGAAACUGCCAUUGAUACUAUCAGUCUUGAAUAUUGUGGAGGUUAGCGGAAUAUGUCAUGUAGCGGUGAAAUGCUUAGAUAUGACAUAGAACACCAAUUGCGAAGGCAGCUGGCUACACAUAUAUUGACACUGAGGCACGAAAGCGUGGGGAUCAAAACAGGAUUAGAUACCCUGGGUAGUCCACGCCCUAAACUAUGGAUACUCGACAUACGCGAUACACUGUGUGUGUCUGAGCGAAA